GGUCCUAUGGUCUAGCGGUUAGGACGCCGCCCUCUCACGGCGGUAACAGGGGUUCGAGUCCCCUUAGGACUA
rnacentral:tRNA from 1 species